UACAGAGGGUGCGAGCGUUGUCCGGAAUCACUGGGCGUAAAGGGCGCGUAGGUGGUGGCUUAAGCGUGCGGUGAAAGCUCGGGGCUCAACUCCGAGUCGGCCGUGCGAACUGGGCUCACUGGAGCAUAGUAGAGGCAGGUGGAAUUCCGGGUGUAGCGGUGGAAUGCGUAGAGAUCCGGAAGAACACCGGUGGCGAAGGCGGCCUGCUGGGGCUAUGGCUGACACUGAGGCGCGACAGCGUGGGGAGCAAACGGGG
rnacentral:rRNA from 1 species